rnacentral:rRNA from 1 species
GCUGGAAGCAUAACAGGAUCAGGUAUGGUUAGUAUUUGGAUGGGAGACCACUUGGAAAUACCAGCUGCUUUAGGCU